AUUGAACGCUGGCGGCAGGCCUAACACAUGCAAGUCGAGCGGAUGAAGGGAGCUUGCUCCUGGAUUCAGCGGCGGACGGGUGAGUAAUGCCUAGGAAUCUGCCUGGUCGUGGGGGAUAACGUCCUGAAACGGGCGCUAAUACCGCAUACGUCCUGAGGUCGAAAGUGGGUGAUCUUCGGACCUCACGCUACCAUAUGAUCCUAGGUCGGAUUAGCUAGUUGGUGGGGUAAAGGCCUACCAAGGCGACGAUCCGUAACUGGUCUGAGAGGAUGAUCAGUCACACUGGAACUGAGACACGGUCCAGACUCCUACGGGAGGCAGCAGUGGGGAAUAUUGGACAAUGGGCGAAAGCCUGAUCCAGCCAUGCCGCGUGUGUGAAGAAGGUCUUCGGAUUGUAAAGCACUUUAAGUUGGGAGGAAGGGCAGUAAGUUAAUACCUUGCUGUUUUGACGGUACCAACAGAAUAAGCACCGGCUAACUUCGUG
rnacentral:rRNA from 1 species